rnacentral:rRNA from 1 species
GAUGAACGCUGGCGGCGUGCCUAAUACAUGCAAGUAGAACGCUGAAGGAGGAGCUUGCUCUUCUGGAUGAGUUGCGAACGGGUGAGUAACGCGUAGGUAACCUGCCUUGUAGCGGGGGAUAACUUUUGGAAACGAUAGCUAAUACCGCAUGACAACUGUUACUGCAUGAUAACUGUUUAAAAGUGGCAACUGCUCCACUACCAGAUGGACCUGCGUUGUAUGAGCUAGUGGGUGAGGUAACGCAUCACCUAGGCGACGAUACAGACCCGACCGGCGAGGGGGGUCGGCCACACUGGGAGUGUGACCCGGCCCAGACGCAUACGGGAAGGAGCAGUAGUGAAUCUUCGGGCAUGGGCGGAAGUCAGAGCGAGCAACGCCGCGGCAGUGAAGAGGGUUUUCGGGUCGUAAAGCUCUGUUGUAAGGGAAGAAAGAGUGUGAGAGUGGAAAGUUCACACUGUGACGGUAUCUUACCAGAAAGCAACGGCUAACUACGUG